UGUGCAGGAAGGACCCACAAGGCACUGCGGGAAGCCCCGCCCAGCCGGAGGCCCCGUGCAGCUGUCCGAACAGCGCCUGUACCGGCAAAUGACAAGGCUGGAGAAAUACGGACUACCAAUCCCAGAAAUCUUUGCGCUGAAUUCUCACUGCGCAGGCGUCCCCUGCAGCUCCCUCGGACGCAGGACUGGGCGGUGCUAAUUCGGAGAGGGCGGAGCGGGCUGGGGCAGGACGUGGUAGGCGGUUCCCAGCUUCAGUGAGAGACCUAGGUCAAAUCCUAGUCUCAACUAACAUGACUCUAAGCAUCUGCCUCCGUUCAUCGCCUCACAGAAUUCCACUCCUGAACUCCCCCCGCCCCCCACCUCUGGAUAACUGCCAAGAUCCUGAGCCCACCUGACCUGCUAUUACUUUUCUCUCUCUUCCCCAAAGUCCAAUAAAAUUGUCCUGGAACUGUC